rnacentral:rRNA from 1 species
GCUAUACAUGCAAGUCGAGCGAACAGACGAGGAGCUUGCUCCUCUGACGUUAGCGGCGGACGGGUGAGUAACACGUGGAUAACCUACCUAUAAGACUGGGAUAACUUCGGGAAACCGGAGCUAAUACCGGAUAAUAUAUUGAACCGCAUGGUUCAAUAGUGAAAGACGGUUUUGCUGUCACUUAUAGAUGGAUCCGCGCCGCAUUAGCUAGUUGGUAAGGUAACGGCUUACCAAGGCAACGAUGCGUAGCCGACCUGAGAGGGUGAUCGGCCACACUGGAACUGAGACACGGUCCAGACUCCUACGGGAGGCAGCAGUAGGGAAUCUUCCGCAAUGGGCGAAAGCCUGACGGAGCAACGCCGCGUGAGUGAUGAAGGUCUUCGGAUCGUAAAACUCUGUUAUUAGGGAAGAACAAAUGUGUAAGUAACUAUGCACGUCUUGACGGUACCUAAUCAGAAAGCCACGGCUAACUACGUGCCAGCAGCCGCGGUAAUACGUAGGUGGCAAGCGUUAUCCGGAAUUAUUGGGCGUAAAGCGCGCGUAGGCGGUUUUUUAAGUCUGAUGUGAAAGCCCACGGCUCAACCGUGGAGGGUCAUUGGAAACUGGAAAACUUGAGUGCAGAAGAGGAAAGUGGAAUUCCAUGUGUAGCGGUGAAAUGCGCAGAGAUAUGGAGGAACACCAGUGGCGAAGGCGACUUUCUGGUCUGUAACUGACGCUGAUGUGCGAAAGCGUGGGGAUCAAACAGGAUUAGAUACCCUGGUAGUCCACGCCGUAAACGAUGAGUGCUAAGUGUUAGGGGGUUUCCGCCCCUUAGUGCUGCAGCUAACGCAUUAAGCACUCCGCCUGGGGAGUACGACCGCAAGGUUGAAACUCAAAGGAAUUGACGGGGACCCGCACAAGCGGUGGAGCAUGUGGUUUAAUUCGAAGCAACGCGAAGAACCUUACCAAAUCUUGACAUCCUCUGACCCCUCUAGAGAUAGAGUUUUCCCCUUCGGGGGACAGAGUGACAGGUGGUGCAUGGUUGUCGUCAGCUCGU